rnacentral:rRNA from 1 species
UGGGGAAUUUUGCACAAUGGGGGAAACCCUGAUGCAGCGACGCCGCGUGAUUUAGAAGGCCUUCGGGUUGUAAAAAUCUUUUUUAUGGGAUGAAAAUGACAGUACCAUAAGAAUAAGGUCCGGCUAAAUACGUGCCAGCAGCCGCGGUAAUACGUAUGGACCGAGCGUUGUCCGGAAUCAUUGGGCGUAAAGGGUACGUAGGCGGCCCAGUAAGUUAGAAGUGAAAUAAUAUAGCUCAACUAUAUAAAGCUUUUAAAACUGCUAGGCUUGAGAGAUGGAAGGGAAAGAGGAAUUCCUAGUGUAGCGGUGAAAUGCGCAGAUAUUAGGAAGAAUACCGGUGGCGAAGGCGACUUUCUGGUCAUCAUCUGACGCUGAGGUACGAAAGCGUGGGUAGCAAACAGG